rnacentral:rRNA from 1 species
GAUGAACGCUGGCGGCGUGCCUAAUACAUGCAAGUCGAGCGAACAGACGAGGAGCUUGCUCCUUCGACGUUAGCGGCGGACGGGUGAGUAACACGUAGGUAACCUACCUAUAAGACUGGGAUAACUUCGGGAAACCGGAGCUAAUACCGGAUAAUAUUUCGAACCGCAUGGUUCGAUAGUGAAAGAUGGCUUUGCUAUCACUUAUAGAUGGACCUGCGCCGUAUUAGCUAGUUGGUAAGGUAACGGCUUACCAAGGCAACGAUACGUAGCCGACCUGAGAGGGUGAUCGGCCACACUGGAACUGAGACACGGUCCAGACUCCUACGGGAGGCAGCAGUAGGGAAUCUUCCGCAAUGGGCGAAAACCUGACGGAGCAACGCCGCGUGAGUGAUGAAGGUCUUCGGAUCGUAAAACUCUGUUAUUAGGGAAGAACAAACGUGUAAGUAACUGUGCACGUCUUGACGGUACCUAAUCAGAAAGCCACGGCUAACUACGUG